UACGUAGGUGGCAAGCGUUGUCCGGAAUUACUGGUGUAAAGGGAGCGUAGGCGGGGAGACAAGUUGAAUGUUUAAACUAUCGGCUCAACUGAUAGUCGCGUUCAAAACUAUCACUCUUGAGUGCAGUAGAGGUAGGCGGAAUUCCUAGUGUAGCGGUGAAAUGCGUAGAUAUUAGGAGGAACACCAGUGGCGAAGGCGGCCUACUGGGCUGUAACUGACGCUGAGGCUCGAAAGCGUGGGUAGCAAACAGG
rnacentral:rRNA from 1 species